CAGUACUACGGUUCUUUUAAAAUUUGUCUAGCUGGUUUUAUAAUCUCUAGCAGAAAGCCUUA
rnacentral:snRNA from 1 species